rnacentral:rRNA from 1 species
GCUCAGUAACACGUGGACAACGUACCCUAAAGUGGAGCAUAAUCUCGGGAAACUGAGGAUAAUUCUCCAUAGACCAUGAGAUCUGGAAUGACUUAUGGUUCAAAGUUCCGGCGCUUUAGGAUCGGUCUGCGGCCUAUCAGGUAGUAGUGGGUGUAACGUACCCCCUAGCCGUUGACGGGUAUGGGCCUUGAGAGAGGGAGCCCAGAGUUGGAUUCUGAGACACGAAUCCAGGCCCUACGGGGCGCAGCAGUCGCGAAAACUUCACAAUGGGCGAAAGCCCGAUGAGGGAAUUCCUAGUGCUAGCACUUUUGUGCUAGCUUUUCUUCAGCGUAGAUAACUGGAGGAAUAAGGGCUGGGUAAGACGGGUGCCAGCCGCCGCGGUAAUACCCGCAGCCCGAGUGGUGGUCGAUUUUAUUGAGUCUAAAACGUUCGUAGCCGGUCUAAUAAAUCCUUGGGUAAAUCGGAAGGCUUAACUUUCCGAAUUCCGAGGAGACUGUUAGGCUUGGGAUCGGGAGAGGUAAGAGGUACUUCAGGGGUAGGGGUAAAAUCCUGUAAUCCUUGGAGGACCACCGGUGGCGAAGGCGUCUUACUAGAACGAAUCCGACGGUGAGGGACGAAGCCCUAGGUCGCAAACGGGAUUAGAUACCCCGGUAGUCUAGGGUGUAAACGCUGCAGACUUGGUGUUGGGGGCCCUUCGGGGGCAUUCAGUGCCGGAGAGAAGUUGUUAAGUCUGCUACUUGGGGAGUACGUCCGCAAGGAUGAAACUUAAAGGAAUUGGCGGGGGAGCACCGCAACGGGAGGAGCGUGCGGUUUAAUUGGAUUCAACACCGGAAAACUCACCAAGGGAGACCAUCACAUGAAAGCCAGGCUAAUGACUUUGCUUGAUUCUUGGAGAAAUGGUGCAUGG